rnacentral:lncRNA from 1 species
GGAUUUGGAUGGAUGGUGAGGAUUGUGUUGGGCCACACAAUCACACACACACGCACUCCCUGUCUUCUCUCCCUCUCGUAGCACUCUCUGUCUCUCUCCCUCGACCUCACACACACCCAAUGUGUACGGCACACACCCAAACCCUCCAAAAAACUCGACGGAUCGAGGCAACCAAGGGAAUUCUAAGCUUGUAGUGAGCUUAGUGAAGUCCUAAGGAGGCUCGGAGUACUUCGUUUGAAGGAUUUGGACGUCGGGAUCACGUGGUUCCAUUUUGGCCGAAUUUCUUGGGAAUUUUCCGGCGGCGAUCGUCAUGACGCCUUGAUGUGUUGUGCUAGGAAGUUGUAGGGCAAACUCCAGGUGAGUGGGCAGUUUUGUUUUCGUAUUACCUAUAUACUAUUGAGUUUUCCCAGAAAUUGAAUUUAAAUGAAAGUAUGAUUUAAAAUGCCAUGGAUAGAUUUAUAUGAAAAGUAUGAUUUGAAAUGCCAUGCAUAGAAGUAUAUGAAAAGCAUGAAUUGAUGUAUGAUGCAUAUAUAUAUGUGAAUUGGUGUUGUGGACGCACAGGUAAGUAUCAGGUGAGUUUUAUAUUAUUCAUGUGCAUUGUUGAUGUGUAUAUUGUGGAUAGCUCAUAACCUGCAAUCAUGGUGUUAGUGCUUAUAUUAUUCACCACACCGCACGCUCGUCUUGGAUCCAAGUAGGUGGAUGUCGUACAGACCAAGUGAGGGUUCCGACAUGCUAGUCGUAUAGAUUACUAGAUGUGAUUCCGACUAGUGGGUGACCUUAGAUUAUGUGCACAGAUGAUUGAUGAGAGAAGCACUAGAGCGUAUUAUUACACCAUCCAUGUCGUACAGACUACUUCAGGUAGUUCCGACUUAUCUGCAGUGUAGUGCCGUACAGGUCAUCGAGGUGACUCCGGUUGGAUUGGAUGUUGAGCUAUGGAAUUAACCGUACAGGACCAACUGCAGGGUCUCCGGUUAAUUCAACUUUUCACCUGUUACAUUGAUGCAUCAUUUAUUUUGUUUUCGAAAUUAAAACAUGGCAUACUUUCGGGUUUUAACGAAAAAUUGAUGAUUCGAGAUUUAUGAAAAGUAUUAUGUUAUUAUACUAUUUUCUGGGAAAAGUAUAUAGGUUUUACAGUGAGGGGUUAGAAUUAUUUUUGGCGAAAUGUUUUUGAAAAGCUUGGUUUUACUGACCCACUCAAUUUUGUUUUUCGCCCCUCCAGGUUCUUGAUAGCAGAGUUUUGGUGGCCACAAGGAAUCCAACGGUAUUAUGACAGAAUUCACAAAAGUAGGACUCACCCUCGAGGGUUUCCAUUUUAAUAAUUGUAUUUUAAAAGCUUCCGAACUGUGUAAAUGGUUACGUCACUCUCAUGUGAUGGCCAGCAUGCCCUCCUUC